AUAUUAAUAAGCGGAGGAAAAGAAACUAACCAGGAUUCCCUCAGUAACGGCGAGUGAAGCGGGAACAGCUCAAGCUUAAAAUCGGGGUGCUUCGCAUCUCGAAUUGUAGUCUAUAGAGGGCAGUUCGAGUGAGGGCGUGUGUGGAAGUCCUUUGGAACAAGGUAUCAUAGAGGGUGAGAGUCCCGUAUGCGCACACGUCUCCUUGCCGUAUGAACUGUUUUCACAGAGUCGGGGUCUUUGGGAUUGGACCCCUAAAUGGGAGGUAAAUUCCAUCUAAAGCUAAAUACAGGCGAGAGACCGAUAGCGCACAAGUA
rnacentral:rRNA from 1 species